ACGUUAGCGAAAUCACAUACACUUACAUAUACUUCUUUGCGUACCUCGACACGAUACGGGCUUGUUACAACCCUCACCAGUAAAGCCAAUGAGUAGUUCUAUCGUCAUUCGAGAUCUGGAGACGCGUGAUUUGGGAGAAGUGCUAGAGUUGCUUAGCCACCUCACGUCUGCCCCUGCGCUUUCGCAAGAAGAGCUGGAGCAGUUGCACGCUCGCCGCGUGCUUGCAGGGGUGCGCACACGCGUUGCAGUUUCUUCCACGACGCAGAAGAUUCUAGGAACCGCCUCUCUCGUUGUGGAGCCGAAGUUCACGCGCGGUGGAAAGUGCGUGGGCCACGUGGAGGAUGUGGUGACCCACCCUGACUGUCGCGGUCAGGGCAUUGGCCGCGAGUUGCUUAGCGACCUGGUGGAGGUGGCGAGGGCGAGCUAUUGCUACAAGGUGGUCCUGAAUUGCACGGAUGAAAUGGUCGCCUAUUACUCCAAAGCCGGCUUUAGAAAAUGUGAGAAUCAGAUGCGUAUGAACAUUGCACCCCAAUGAUCGACCUCGGAGUGUACCUGAGUUAAUCCACUGUGAAGGGGUAAAUGCUGUGUUGAUAACCUGGUGCCGCCGAGACGCGCGGAUCUGCGCUGUGGAUGUGUAUAUGUCACUGUAUCCGUGUGUGUGUGUGUGAUGCCAUGGUAGCCAUUGCGGUGAAGAUGUUUGAAGCGCCAAGAGGUAAAAUCUGCUCUCUGUUUUUCUGCGCUCCACCUUCUUGCUGCAUGAGGCAUCGCAAAAAGUCAAGCCAACUUCGACGCCACACACGGUAUGAGGGAAGGAAAGAGUGCCAACGCUUGUGAGGCAGUUGGGUUGCUAUCGCGCGCCAGUGGUCUGCGCUGUCUCACUAGUGGUGUGAUCUACCAGCUCGCGAGUGCGAUGUUGAUGAGAUGCGCAUGUGCCACCUCAUCUUUUCUAUAUUUUACGCGACCUAGUCUCCUGGGUCGUGGUGUGGCGAGUGAAUGACGGAGUGUAUCAAGUUGCUCCAGCGCUGCUCGGUGAGGGUGGCAACGGAGAGCACCUCAGCAAUGGCCCUGUGCGUGCUCUCCUUGCGCGGAUCAUAUCAGAUGAUUUCCCUAAUUGCAAACCUCGCCCCCUCUGCCUUAUCUGUCGGUUGAAUACCAUGCAUGUACGGAGAUAUCCUUUACCACAACGGGGGGACGCCUUCAAG
rnacentral:misc_RNA from 1 species